UACGUAGGGACCGAGCGUUGUCCGGAGUUACUGGGCGUAAAGGGCGCGCAGGCGGCCGGCCGCGUCGGGUGUGAAAGCCCUCCGCUCAACGGAGGAGCGUCACUCGAAACGGGCUGGCUGGAGGCAGGGAGAGGUCGGUGGAAUUCCCGGUGUGGUGGUGAUAUGCGUAGAGAUCGGGAGGAACACCAGUGGCGAAGGCGGCCGACUGGACCUGACCUGACGCUGAGGCGCGAAGGCGUGGGGAGCGAACGGG
rnacentral:misc_RNA from 1 species